CUGAUUAUGUUCAGGAGUGAAAAGGUGGCGAUGGGGUUGGGGUGUCAAUUCAGGUUCCACGUGGGUCUGUUGAUUUUCCUCUAGGGUUCCUAGCCUCUCCUCAACUUGAUCAAAUCUAUUGUUCAAUUGUUUGAACUGCUCAGUCAUAGUCCUUAGGAUGGUCUCAAGAUUGGGGUCCAGGGCUUCAAUGGGUUGUGUAUGUGAUGGGUUGUAGGGUGAUCCUGAUCAAGUUAUCAUAUAAGGCUCAAGACGAAACAAAAUGACUAGCCUAUACUAGGGUUUGCUAAAUCUAAAUCAAAGACUUAUCUAAUUAAAAUUGGUUCACCACUUGCCCAGGCCAGUUGGACCAAGAGUUCGUGUAACCGCCAUUAACCAUACUUAGCUGACACCAACCGCUUAACAGGGCUGGGUAGAUAAGAUGGUAGCCACGAUCCUGAUCGGAACUUUUCUAGACAGCUAGGAAUUAGCCAAAUUCAAUUAGCCUAAAGACUCGUUGUGGUUUCUAAGUUAAGUUGGCUAGUUGAGUUUUAAAUUAGGCUUGGGUUCUAGAUUUAUGAGGGUGGUUGUUUUGGGCUAAGGAAAGGUGAUGAAAUCCUUCCCUUAUGUUGCAAUUAGAGUGCCCUUAAUAUGAUUUAUGAUGGAUGCAACUAUUUUAAAUGUCCA
rnacentral:lncRNA from 1 species